CCUACGGGAGGCAGCAGUGGGGAAUAUUGGGCAAUGCGCGAAAGCCUGACCCAGCAACGCCGCGUGAAGGAAGAAGGCUUUCGGGUUGUAAACUUCUUUUGACAGGGAAGAGCAGAAGACGGUACCUGUCGAAUAAGCCACGGCUAACUACGUGCCAGCAGCCGCGGUAAUACGUAGGUGGCAAGCGUGGUCCGGAUGGACUGGGUGGAAAGGGCGUGUAGCCGGGCUGACAAGUCAGAUGUGAAAUCCGGGGGCUCAACCCUCGAACUGCAUUUGAAACUGUUGGUCUUGAGUAUCGGAGAGGCAGGCGGAAUUCCUAGUGUAGCGGUGAAAUGCGUAGAUAUUAGGAGGAAUACCAGUGGCGAAGGCGGCCUGCUGGACGACAACUGACGGUGAGGUGCGAAAGCGUGGGGAGCAAACAGGAUUAGAUACCCGAGUAGUC
rnacentral:rRNA from 1 species